rnacentral:rRNA from 1 species
CCUAACACAUGCAAGUCGAACGAUGCUUUCGGGCAUAGUGGCGCACGGGUGCGUAACGCGUGGGAAUCUGCCCUUGGGUUCGGAAUAACAGUUGGAAACGACUGCUAAUACCGGAUGAAGACGAAAGUCCAAAGAUUUAUCGCCUGAGGAUGAGCCCGCGUAAGAUUAGGUAGUUGGUGGGGUAAAGGCCUACCAAGCCGACGAUCUUUAGCUGGUCUGAGAGGAUGAUCAGCCACACUGGGACUGAGACACGGCCCAGACUCCUACGGGAGGCAGCAGUGGGGAAUAUUGGACAAUGGGCGAAAGCCUGAUCCAGCAAUGCCGCGUGAGUGAUGAAGGCCUUAGGGUUGUAAAGCUCUUUUACCCGGGAUGAUAAUGACAGUACCGGGAGAAUAAGCCCCGGCUAACUCCGUGCCAGCAGCCGCGGUAAUACGGAGGGGGCUAGCCGUUGUUCGGAAUUACUGGGCGUAAAGCGCACGUAGGCGGCUUUGUAAGUUAGAGGUGAAAGCCUGGAGCUCAACUCCAGAAUUGCCUUUAAGACUGCAUCGCUUGAAUCCAGGAGAGGUGAGUGGAAUUNCGAGUGUAGAAGGUGAAAUUCGUAGAUAUUCGGAAGAACACCAGUGGCGAA